rnacentral:lncRNA from 1 species
UCUGAACUGCUUCCUUCAGAGCUUGUGCAGCCCCUACCAGACAUAAGAGGGGCCAAAGCCAGAAAAUGAGCAUGAAAACAAAGCACUGAAGUCUUGAGCUGUUCCUACUCCCUUUUCCCAUUGUCUCUAUCAGCCUGGUUUCAUGGAAAGCCCUUUUGGGGGAGAGCCAUUGGGUGCCCACAGAAAACCCACUCCCCAAAAUCUGUAGCGACCUGUCCUCUCUCUGUCGUGACUGCCUGGCGCUCUGCUUGCUUUAUUUCUGUCACCAGCUGAGCCGCUGGGAUGCCAGGCAUCACGGCUACUCACAGCACAGGAGAAAACUGAAGAAUUUAGCAAUUAACCAAAACUAGCAGAGUUUGCAUUUAAUACAAUAUUGACUUAAUAAAAAGGAUUUUUUUUGCAGGAUAUCCAGUGUCUCUCUGAUGAAGAAACACAGCAAGUACAUAAACCAAGCAGGAAAAAAGAGCCAAGUGAAUGUAUUCACUGGGCACGAGUAUGUCGUGGGACCAGAGUAAGGAGGUGGAGAAGACGAGGCAGGAGCCACAUAGGGCUUAAGAGAGGAGAGGUCUGGGAGCUCAGUGCGCGGACCAGCAGGACCCGGCCGGGUGGUUUGUUUUUAUAUGUAAAGAAUCAGCGUGCUUUGGAAGGAAUACUGCAGCUUUCACUUCUGAAAUAGCGCUGUGACUUAUAGCAAAUGCAAUUUGUUUCAACAUUUUUGCUAAGCCAAACCAUCGUGGUCUGUUUGUUUUGGAGAGGUGGGAAGCAAGCCGCGAGGACAGGCUGAAGGCUCUUUUUCUUCCCUCGUUGGAUUUGGGUCAAGUGUUUACAGAUUCAGGUCAACUCUCAGAGGAGCAGCCACCGAAAUUUGCUCCCAGGAUUGAACUCCUUAAAUAACACGGCUCUCCUUCCAGGCUUGGAGGCGAUCACAAUUUUUCAGCUCUUUCCUGUGUGUUUCUGAAUGUGCUCCGUAUUUGAAGGAGGAGAAAAAGCCGCAAGGUUCUGCUCUUUUCCUCUGUUGUUCGACAUUCCUCCGAGAUGAGACCUUCUACCUUCAUCCCUGGCCAAGCCCCACCGCCAGCUCCCUGGGUGGUGCGUGGCUGCUCGCCCCUGCAUCCAGGAGGCCGCAGCUGCAGCGCGUGGUGAGCCCGCGCUCCUUCCCUGCCUCCCCGCCUGUCAGAGCUUUCUAGGAAGGCAACGUCCUUCUCCCAGGUGGUCACCAGCAAACCCCACAAGCACUCACCCAACCAAGAGCAAGCCCUAGCCUGCUGUGAAGCUGUGGGGAGCUGGGGGUCAGCCUCUUC